UACGUAGGGGGCAAGCGUUGUCCGGAAUCAUUGGGCGUAAAGCGCGUGUAGGCGGUUCGAUAAGUCUGCUGUGAAAGUCCAGGGCUCAACCCUGGGAUGCCGGUGGAUACUGUCGGGCUAGAGUGCGGAAGGGGCAACUGGAAUUCUCGGUGUAGCGGUGAAAUGCGUAGAUAUCGAGAGGAACACCUGCGGCGAAGGCGGGUUGCUGGGCCGACACUGACGCUGAGGCGCGAAAGCCAGGGGAGCGAACGGG
rnacentral:rRNA from 1 species